rnacentral:rRNA from 1 species
UGGGGAAUAUUGUUCAAUGGACCAAAAGUCUGAAACAGCAAUGCCGCGUGGAUGAUGAAGGCCUUCGGGUUGUAAAGUCCUUUCGACGGGGAAGAAGAGAUGACGGUACCUGGAGAAGAAGCCACGGCUAAUCACGUGCCAGCAGCCGCGGUAAGACGUGAGUGGCAAGCGUUAUCCGGAAUUACUGGGCGUAAAGAGCGCGUAGGCGGCUCCAAAAGUCAGAGGUGAAAAGUCUGGGCUCAACCGAGGCCUUGCCUUUGAAACUCUGGAGCUAGAGUACAGGAUAGGAGGGUGGAACUACCAGUGUAGCGGUGGAAUGCGUAGAUAUUGGUAGGAAUGCCGAUGACGAAGGUAGCUCUCUGGACUGAUACUGACGCUGAGGUGCGAGAGCUAGGGGAGCAAACAGG